rnacentral:tmRNA from 1 species
GGGGACGCGUAGCUUCGACAGGUGAGUGCCCUGCCGAGACUGCGAGCCGAGAUCGUCACUGUUCUCGUUAAACAAGUGGCAACAAGUAACUGGCGACAGACAACUCGCCCUCGCAGCCUAAUUAGGCUGUGACGUCUGCCGGAGGCCCUCCUCGAGGCCGAAGGACAGGCGCCGUUAUAUCGAGGUGCUGGCGCUGUAACGCCGAUGGCAGCGCUGAAGAGGGCCGAAAGGCCCAUCGGCUGGUCCUGAGGAGCGAUGCCGGGUGAGCAACCUCAGGGUGAGACACAAACACCGGCUACGCUCGUAGACGUUUCGGGUCAGGAUUCAUCUGGACGGGGGGUGCGACUCCCCCCCGUCUCCACCU